rnacentral:rRNA from 1 species
UACGUAGGGUGCAAGCGUUAAUCGGAAUUACUGGGCGUAAAGCGUGCGCAGGCGGUGAUGUAAGACAGUUGUGAAAUCCCCGGGCUUAACCUGGGAAUGGCAUUUGUGACUGCCCGGCUAGAGUGUGUCAGAGGGGGGUAGAAUUCCACGUGUAGCAGUGAAAUGCGUAGAGAUGUGGAGGAAUACCGAUGGCGAAGGCAGCCCCCUGGGAUAACACUGACGCUCAUGCACGAAAGCGUGGGGAGCAAACAGG